GAAAAAUAACUGUGAACGCACUGUAACUCAUGAUGAUGCGUAAGCAUCAUAUUAGGCUGUGUCUGUCUUGAAAUGCAAAACAAUAAAAGUAACAGUAACAUCAGUCUGGUGACCUUUACGUAUGUGAUUUAAAGUACUGUUGCAGCAAUAAAAGUGUCUUUUUGUUUGUAUUGUUCGUUUCAAAAAAGGCAUUUAAUCGAAAAUACAUGGCUUGCGUCGCUGGCUGUAAAAGUCGUAGCAGUGAGAAAUCCGAUGAAGACGGGAAUUUGUCACUUCACAGGAAUCUUCAACCUUAGCUAGAAAUAAAAUAAUAGACUCACAAAGAAAGCUGCAGAUCAACCAUCAGCGUCAAAAGAUUUGUGUGCUCCGCCUGCUAAUGACUCAAAUCACUACUCGAAAAAAAAUAUUUAUUUUAAUAAUAAUAAACGUUUUAUGAAUACGAAA